AUUGCUAGUUACCAUCAUUGAUUGGGACUCUAGCGAGACUGCCAGUGAUAAACUGGAGGAAGGUGGGGAUGACGUCAAAUCAUCAUGCCCCUUAUGACCUGGGCUACAAACGUGAUACAAUGGCUGAAACAGAGGGAGGCGAAGGGGUGACCUGGAGCGAAACCCAGAAAAACAGUCUCAGUUCGGAUUGAAGUCUGCAACUCGACUUCAUGAAGUCGGAAUCGCUAGUAAUCGCGGAUCAGAACGCCGCGGUGAAUACGUUCUCGGGGCUU
rnacentral:rRNA from 1 species